AGCAGCCGCGGUAAUUCCAGCUCCAAUAGCGUAUAUUAAAGUUGUUGCAGUUAAAAAGCUCGUAGUUGAAUUUCGGGAUCAAUACGUCGGUCGUGCCUCGGUACGUACUGGCGUCAUUGAUUUCUCCCUUCUGAAGAACCGUGAUGCCAUUAACUUGGUGUCAUGGGAAAUCAGGACUGUUACUUUGAAAAAUUAGAGUGUUUAAAGCAGGCUCACGCUUGAAUACAUUAGCAUGGAAUAAUGAAAUAGGACGUUCGACCCUAUUUUGUUGGUUUCUAGGAUCAACGUAAUGAUUAAUAGGGAUAGUUGGGGGCAUUAGUAUUCAAUUGUCAGAGGUGAAAUUCUUGGAUUUA
rnacentral:rRNA from 1 species